rnacentral:rRNA from 1 species
UACAGAGGAUGCAAGCGUUAUCCGGAAUGAUUGGGCGUAAAGCGUCUGUAGGUGGCUUUUUAAGUCCGCCGUCAAAUCCCAGGGCUCAACUCUGGACAGGCAGUGGAAACUACCAAGCUGGAGUACGGUAGGGGCAGAGGGAAUUUCCGGUGGAGCGGUGAAAUGGAGUAGAGAUCGGAAAGAACACCAACGGCGAAAGCAACUCUGCUGGGCCGACACUGACACUGAGAGACGAAAGCUAGGGGAGCGAAUGGG